GAUCAACGUUGGCGGCGUGGAUUAGGCAUGCAAGUCGAACGCGAAAGGGUAGCAAUACCCGAGUAAAGUGGCGAACGGGUGAGUAACGCGUAGGAAACCUGCCUUCGAGUGGGGGAUAACAUUCCUAACGGGGUGCUAAUACCGCAUGAAACUGCGGGGAUCGCAUGGUUCUGCAGUCAAAGGUGGCCUCUAUUUAUAAGCUACCGCUCAAAGAUGGUCCUGCGUCCCAUUAGCUAGUGGCGGGGUAACGGCCCACCAAGGCAUCGAUGGGUAGCCGAUCUGAGAGGAUGACCGGCCACACUGGGACUGAGAUACGGCCCAGACUCCUACGGGAGGCAGCAGUCGAGAGGCUUCGGCAAUGGGGGAAACCCUGACCGAGCGACGCCGCGUGGAGGAUGAAGGCCCUUGGGUUGUAAACUCCUGUCAUGUGGGAAGAAACCUCACGGUUCGAAUAGGGCCGUGACUUGACGGUACCACAAGAGGAAGCUCCGGCUAACUCCGUGCCAGCCGCCGCAGUAA
rnacentral:rRNA from 1 species